GACGAACGCUGGCGGCGUGCUUAACACAUGCAAGUCGAACGAAGUGGCGAACGGGUGAGUAACGCGUAAUCAACCUGCCCUUCAGAGGGGGACAACAGUUGGACACGACUGCUAAUACCGCAUACUGAUGGGGGGGUUUGCGUCUGAUUAGCUGGGUGGAGGGGUAACGGCCCACGAAGGCGAUGAUCAGUAGCCGGGCUGAGAGGAUGGACGGCCACAUUGGGACUGAGACACGGCACAGACUCCCUCGGGAGGCAGCCGUGGGGGAACUUUCGCAAUGGACGAAAGGCUGGCGGAGCAACGGCGCGUGGGUGAUGACGGCCUUCGGGUUGUAAAGCUCUGUUAAUCGGGACGCGGUACCGGAAUAGAAAGCCACGGCUAACUACGUGCCAGCAGCCGCGGUAAUUC
rnacentral:rRNA from 1 species